rnacentral:rRNA from 1 species
UACCAGCACCCCGAGUGGUCGGGACGAUUAUUGGGCCUAAAGCAUCCGUAGCCGGCCUUACAAGUCCUCCGUUAAAUCCAGCUGCUUAACAGAUGGGCUGCGGAGGAUACUAUAAGACUAGGAGGCAGGAGAGGCAAGCGGUACUCAGUGGGUAGGGGUAAAAUCCGUUGAUCCAUUGAAGACCACCAGUGGCGAAGGCGGCUUGCCAGAAUGCGCUCGACGGUUAGGGAUGAAAGCUGGGGGAGCAAACCGG